GAUUUCUGGUUGUGCGUACUUGGCCCGUCUCGGUUUACGGGAUUGUGUGCCGGUGUAUGCCAUCCAUCCUUCGAUGCGGAUAGUUCUACCCUUUACUGGGUUGGGAUUAUUUUCUCGAUCUUUUACUUUGAAAAAAUUAGAGUGUUUAAAGCAGACUUGCGCUAUGAAUACAUUAGCAUGGAAUAAUAAUUUAGGACUUUGGUCUUAUUUUGUUGGUUUCUAGGACUAAAGUAAUGAUUGAUAGGGACAGUUGGGGGUGCUAGUAUUCAGCGGCCAGAGGUGAAAUUCUUGGAUUCGCUGAAGACUAACUUAUGCGAAAGCAUU
rnacentral:rRNA from 1 species